rnacentral:lncRNA from 1 species
CCUCAUGUGCGCCGGCGGGUUUCAAGGAGGAAGCCGAGGAGUCCCAAUUUCUAACAGCCUUUAGCUUCGAAUUCUAAAUCCGGACCUGUUUGGGGCGUCACUUUGAGAGGGUUUCUCUUGCUCCCUCAUUCCCGCGACUACCACUCCCUCCUUCCCAAACUGCCCCCGGGGAUAGAGUGGGGGAGUGCGGGGCGCUCCGAGGCGCGCUCCCACGCGCGCACACCCAGCCCCAGGCUUCCCCUUCCCUCUCUCCACUCCCCACGCCCUGCAGCGAAACGGCCCCAGAAGCCCCUCUCCGAGGCGCGAGUUCGGUUUGGUUCUGGCAGGGGCUUUGCAGCUGUCCGGAAGGUGAAGUCAGCCUUGUGUCCUGAGGAGAAACUGGAGAUGCAGGUCGCUGUGCCCUCCCGCUGCUACGUCGCUGCGCCGGAUCCUGCCAUCCUUCCGCAAGGGGUGAGAGCGGGAACAGCCCUGCCCUGCCUUCCAGGUAUUAUCUAGCCUGGAGGCUGGAGCGCAAGGUAACGCUCCGGGAAGUGGCACUCGGGUCCCCGCACACGGGCGAGUCCUCAGCAGUUCAGUGGACAGACCCGCAGGACGCGGCUGCCAAGUCCGCGAGGCAAGGACCAGGCAUCUUCCCGCGCCUCACUCCAGCCUGCGGACUGUGACUUUCCAUCCCAGUAUCAGACAAGCUCGCGAGUAACUGAACAUCCUUUCCAGUCCAUGGGUGGGGUGUGGAAAGGGCGUAAAACUCCAAAGUGGCUCCUCCGCGGUGAGCGAGCUGCCCCGGGGCUCUGCCUGACUGCAGCGCGAAGCCUGGGAGAACAAACCCAGUUCCCUCCGUCAAGAAAUUUCCAUUUAAGUCCGAGAAAGUCAUAUGAUUGAGAAGUUCAGCAGCGGCGGCGAGGACCCAGUGUCUGGGAAAGAACACCUGGAGGAUGGGGUGUCCAGGACGCCGGCUUUUCGGGGUUCCGACCCCACCCACCUUAUGUUGUAACAUACAAGCUUAGAGACCUGUUGCAAGGAACAACUGACUGGGUCUUCCACCACCCCUGGCACCCGGGUGGCCCAAAGCCUAUGCGCCCUUGGCGGAGAGAGAGGCCACGGUGCCACUGGCCGCAGCCUCUGGCCUUCAGAAACAGUGUAUUACAAAGAAAAGGCAGUUUAAAUCUCACAUUCAGCAUAGGGAAAACUGAAGGGUGCCAGGCUCGGGGACUUCUUCCAACAGAGUGGCUCUUCCCCAAAUAUGAAAGAAAAUCAUCAAAUUAAAUUGAAGGCAAAACUAAGCUUCCACCACAAAGACAUAGCAGAUAGUUGCAAGGUGGAUUCCUUCGGGCCUUUUCCUUUCCUAAGGCUAAAACAAUGCUAAGACAAAAGUCUUCUUGCAGCUGUCUCCGCCCCUCCGAGAUAAAUACUUUCCCAAUUCUCCCCCACCCUGUACACACACCCACGCCCGCGGCAGCUGAUUUCUGUCUUCUGCAAUAGCUCGAUUUAAAUGCUUUGCUUUUACUCUUUAUUAUCACUAUUAUUUGUGUGAAGCCCUCUCGCCUGCUCCUGGUCACCAGCAGGAGCCUGCUUCCCUCCCUCCUUCCCCCCAAGCCUCUGGGCAGCAGAAGCUAGCUGGGAGCUCUGUGCAGCUGGCGGCGACGCCAUGUGACUGUGAGCCGAGCACCAUCACCCAGAGUCACUCUCUAGCUUUCCCCUAAUACACUUCACACCCACGCACUGUGGAGGUGCGAGAGAGGUUGCUCCGUGCGGUGCUAUUCGAGGCAGAUGCAGAGAGCGCCCUGGAGUAAGCUCUCCAAUCCUAGAGCUGCGCGGGACCCUGACUGAAGGCGGAGGGGGCGGGAGGGGGUGCUGUUGCUAUAUUUAGACUCCCUAUGGAGUUUCUGUGCAGGGACUUUCAGGGUGAAAGAUCUAGAGACUUAAAAUGACUCGUGUGCCCGCUUUAAACGUCAAAAUCUUGGCCUUUCUGCAAGCAGUAAAAUGAAAACCACUUCCUCUUAACUUAGCUGUUUUCCUUGUUGCAGACUGCUACUUUCGCUGGGUAGGUAAAGUCACUUCCAUCUCUCUGGCGCGGCUGGGCCCCGCGUGCAGGCAAGAAGUCUCAGGAAGGCAGGACACAGGGACACGUUUCCCUGGAAGACAGCCAGCUGUUUAAUUUCUAAGUGAUGCUUUUCUGGGGAUGCAGCAUUAGUUCUAGUGAAACUGUAUUAUUGAUUAAGCAAAUGCCAUUUAAGCUUAAUUAAAAAAUAAAAAAGACCCGGUUACUGGUAGCCGUUUUGAGCUGCUGAGAAGGACCUUUCACUUAUGUCUUCUAGAGUAACCGCCAUUUGGAUACACAGCCCAGAAAAAGAGGGCCUGCUCAAGUUUUCGCGGGUAGUGUGAGAGUUACUAGGAAUCCAACAACCUGGCUUCCUAGUUCACUGUUCCUUCCACCAAUCAAUCUGCAUCUCCAGCAGAGAAUGGAUAAAAUAGCAAACAGUUCUGGGGUUUUGUAUCAAUCUCUGACUGCAACCAUUGGGAAAGACUGGCUUAGCUGAAGUUCUAACCUUCCUACCUUUCAAUGCCCAGAAAGAAAAAGCCAAGUGAGUCUGUGCCAACCUCUCCUACAAGAGCCUCUGUUUGCACCUUGCUUUAUUUGCUACCUGCUAACUUCCCUCAAAAGACGGGAAUUAACUUUGGAGAAAAUAAGAAAUUAAUCAGAGAACCCAGGACAACGUCAGAGAUCAUAUGAGCCUCACCAGACUGCAUGAGAGUCAUAACACAGUAGGAGUCCCAGGCCUACCUCACAUGGCAAAUGGGACAGUGUUCUUCAGAACAACCUCUGCCCCAGGGAUGCAGAAAGGAGGUGGGUGUGAAUGAGUGUGGCUGUAAGGAGAGGCUGGUAGAGAAAUAGUGCGGAAAGGGCUCAACAAGUUCUCACCAUUUUUAUUCCAGCAGCUAACAAAAUUACUGUUUCUAGGAAUUACUGAAAUAUUGUGCUGAUCACAAUUGUUGAAGCAAAAUAAUAGCAAAUACUUAUCAUGUGUUUUGUAUGUGUUAGGCACUGUGGUUUACAGUAAUUAUUUCAGGCCGGA